AGGACGAACGCUGGCGGCGUGCUUAACACAUGCAAGUCGAACGGACCUUAUGGAAUAGUUUACUAGGAAAUAAGGUUAGUGGCGGACGGGUGAGUAACACGUGGAUAAUCUGCCUGGCACACAGGGAUAACACUGUGAAAACGGUGCUAAUACCGGAUACGCUCUACUGAUUGCAUAACUGGUAGAGGAAAGGGGGAACCCGGUGCGAGAUGAGUCCGCGGCUGAUUAGCUAGUUGGUGGGGUAAGAGCCUACCAAGGCGACGAUCAGUAGCCGGCCUGAGAGGGUGAACGGCCACACUGGAACUGAGACACGGUCCAGACUCCUACGGGAGGCAGCAGUGGGGAAUCUUCCGCAAUGGGCGAAAGCCUGACGGAGCAACGCCGCGUGGGUGACGAAGGCCUCGGUUGUAAGACCUGUCUUAUGGAGAAAAAUAGACGGUACCAUAGGAGGAAGCCACGGCUAACUACGUG
rnacentral:rRNA from 1 species